rnacentral:rRNA from 1 species
AUGAUGCUUGUUAUUCUUGGCCACACUAAUGAGUUGUCUCAGUCAUUGCAAAAGAGUGAUCAAGAUAUUGUUAAUGCAAUGGCACUUGUUAGUUUGGCAAAGAAUAAAAUGCGACAUAUGAGGUCUCAUGUCUGGGAAGAAUUUCUUGCAAAGGUGACAUUGUUUUGCAACAAACAUGGAAUUGAAGUUCCUACACCGGAGGAUAAUUAUGUGCCUCAUGGAAGAUCACCUCGGUAUUAUGAAGUGCAAACAAAUGAUGAUCGUUAUAGAAGAGAAGUAUAUCUUGGUAUCCUUGAUCAAAUCAUUCAAGAUCUUGACAAUAGGUUUGAUGAGGUUAAUAUGGAGUUGCUUAUUUGCAUGUCUGCUUUGAACCCCGUCGAUUCAUUUGCUUCUUAUGAUGCACUCAAGGUAAUGAAACUUGCUGAAUUCUACCCCCCAGGACAUAUCAAGCAUGGAUUUGGUAAGGCUUGA